UGGCGGACGGGUGAGUAACGCGUGGAUAACCUGCCGUAUACCGGGGGAUAACACUUAGAAAUAGGUGCUAAUACCGCAUAAGCGCACGGCUCCGCAUGGGGCAGUGUGAAAAACUCCGGUGGUAUACGAUGGAUCCGCGUCUGAUUAGCUAGUUGGCGGGGUAACGGCCCACCAAGGCAGCGAUCAGUAGCCGGCCUGAGAGGGUGGACGGCCACAUUGGGACUGAGACACGGCCCAAACUCCUACGGGAGGCAGCAG
rnacentral:rRNA from 1 species